GCUCUUUCAGCCUCAGAUGAAGAAGAAAGAGAGAAGUCAGAAUGUUCGUGAUGCUUCUUCGCCAGAUCAGGGAGCCAGAUCUCCGCGGACUUUUUUCAACUAAGAUUGUACCCUGAAGGUCUUCUGGAUGAGAAGCGGAAGGAGGAGGAGAUUUAAUCAACCGAACUCAGUUCCAGUCUAUUGGAAUUUCACCUAAGCCCAGCCAGCUUUCCACCCAGACCCUCUGCCCCCCAAGAUUAGAAGAUGAAGACCGGGGAUUUAGAGCCAUGGAUUGCAGGCUUCCCUUGAUGAUGCUGGUGCUGCCACAGGGCUGAUCCUUGGGGUUUCAUCCAUAGAACAGGCCUGGAAGGCCAGAAGGAUGCUCCUGAGGGAGGGCAUUAGGUCCACGUCACCACUCCAGGCUGGAAUUCUGUCUUCCCUAUAGAAAGUGCUUAAUAAAUAUCUGUUGGAUGGAUGCACAGUUAA